rnacentral:tRNA from 2 species
UGCGGGGUGGAGCAGUGGCAGCUCGUCGGGCUCAUAACCCGAAGGUCACAGGUUCAAGUCCUGUCCCCGCUAC